UACGGGGGGGGCAAGCGUUGUUCGGAAUUACUGGGCGUAAAGGGCUCGUAGGUGGCCAACUAAGUCAGACGUGAAAUCCCUCAGCUUAACUGGGGAACUGCGUCUGAUACUGGAUGGCUUGAGUUUGGGAGAGGGAUGCGGAAUUCCAGGUGUAGCGGUGAAAUGCGUAGAUAUCGUAAGGAAGACCAGUGGCGAAGGCGGGUCUCUGGACAGUUCCUGACGCUGAGGCACGAAGGCCAGGGGAGCAAACGGG
rnacentral:rRNA from 1 species